CAUCAACGUACCUACUGAAAAAUUUUUAACCGUCUUCAAAAACACAAAAUAAGAUUCUCUGUUUGACCUAUGUGUCGCUGGGUACUGGCAUACGAAGAACAAAUUUCCUUACAAAUCGUUAUCGGAAAUGGCGUCAAGUGAAGUUGUUUCGCUGGAAAACCCUUAUCUUGCAACAGAAGUAGCAGCAGCAGUAGCAGUAGCAGCUCGACAGUCGCCGCGUCGCGGGUCUCGAAUUGCUGCUCAUGAAUAUGAGCCUCUAGU